rnacentral:rRNA from 1 species
AGCAGUCGCCGCGGUAAUACGUAGGUGGCAAGCGUUGCCCGGAAUUAUUGGGCGUAAAGGGCUCGCAGGCGGUUUCUUAAGUCUGAUGUGAAAGCCCCCGGCUCAACCGGGGAGGGUCAUUGGAAACUGGGAAACUUGAGUGCAGAAGAGGAGAGUGGAAUUCCACGUGUAGCGGUGAAAUGCGUAGAGAUGUGGAGGAACACCAGUGGCGAAGGCGACUCUCUGGUCUGUAACUGACGCUGAGGAGCGAAAGCGUGGGGAGCGAACAGGAUUAGAUACCCCUGUAGUCCCUGUCUCUUAUAC